ensembl:ncRNA R07D5.7 ncRNA
UGAGGCGGAUGCUCCGAGGGGCCUUCUUGCUUCGGGCAUGUUGAUGUGGAGGAGCUGGUACUGAUACUGACGGUCUCACUAUUGCUAGCCGAACUAUCGACGAAGCGAAGACGGCGACCCGCAAGAUUCGGCGCGAAGGAC